GUAGGAGGGGAACGUUCUGUUGCCACCCACCCAGUUAGCGCGCGGUAUCGAAAGAGGGCGCCCUCAUAUUACAUUACCGUCAUAAUGGCAGCCAUGGACAUGCCGUCUGUGCGGCUGCAAUGUGAUUUUAGUAAUUUAGUGUUGCAAAGCCAUCGAAUGUGGUGUAAAUCCCUCUUAUCUGCGCGAACUAAAUACAGUGCAACUUAAUCGAUGCACAAAAGACAUACGGAGCCAUUUGUAGAAGUGGAAAGUCGCUGCAUAUGAUGUGAAUGUCGAGUGGAAACUGAUCCUCCUGCGCCUGCGAUGUGGUUUGUUCGACGUCGAUGCAUACACUGAUCAUGAUAAGACAAUACGUUCAGCGCAUAGAUACAAGUUAGGGUUGAGUUGGACAUCAUCAAGGAAAUGUUGUCAUCCACUCCAUAAAGGGAAAGGCUAACCAUUCCGUGGUGUGAAUAAAGCAACUAGCCGUGAGAUCAUAGAUGUUUGAUCGAUGGGGUACCCUGAUCACUGUUGUGUUGGAACAGGUAUCUGUAGAGGUUGUCUAUCUUAGCACAAACAAGCAGUUACGCACCAGACAGCGGAACAAUUACCAUCUAGUGAUGUGCUCUCUAAGGAACAAGAAGAGCAUCAGUGUACAAUCAGUGAUUUCACAUCGCCGGUAGGUGUACCAUCUCUCCAACCCACCGACACAGAGUGCACUUCAGUUCAUGAGCAUACAUCUGAGUCCUCAUCAACUGAUGGAGAUAUUACACAGGAUGUAGGUACACUUGACUCUUCUUGGGCAACAACCCCCUGACCAAAGAAUGUGCAGCUGCAAUCCCUGAACACUUUCCUUACUCAGGGGGGAAUGUCUGCUGUUGAUGGGCAGCUUCGUCUGUCAUUAGAAGAAGCAUCUGAUAGCACCAUCCAUUAUUAUAGAAGGAAGGCAAAGGAAGCCUUUGGUUUAGUUCUUCAUUGUUUAGCACCAGGUCAAGAAGAUGGGCUCAUGAAGAUUACAAUCGGUGAAACAACUGCUGAAUCAUCACAAAGUGGUCAAAAUUUUGAUAGUAGUGCCCGUCUUCCUUUUUUUUUUAAUAGAGAACUAGAGAUUCGAGACCUCAGAAUUUGCUCUUUAUAAGCAGCAGUAGGACAUCUUUGUAAAAGUGUUCUUUAUAACAAAAGUCGACUGUAGUACUACCAUUUUACUUAUUUGGUGGGGUGGAUAACAGGUUUAAGGUUUGGAUAAAAAUUAAUUGGAUCCUUUUUGAUUAUUGAUUUUUUGAAAGGUUUUCCUCAAAUUUUGGUUGGUAAAAUAAAUCAUUCUUUUUUGGUCUUUCUAAAAAUUUGUUUGUCAUUGUUUAUAUUUAUUCAAAUUCCUCUCUACUUGUUCCUACCCCAUCUAGGUCUAUCUCAUUUUUGACAGCGAGUACCCCAACAUUUAGCGUUUUUCUCAUUCAAUUUAUUAUUUUCCAAGUUUAUUAAUUUUCCGGGUUACAUUAACAUGCCAAAAAAUAACAGAAUUGUCAUCCAA